GGGAUUGCCUCAGUAACGGCGAGUGAAGCGGCAACAGCUCAAAUUUGAAAUCUGGCUCUCGGGCCCGAGUUGUAAUUUGCAGAGGAUGUUUCUGGCGAGGUGCCUUCCGAGUUCCCUGGAACGGGACGCCAUAGAGGGUGAGAGCCCCGUCCGGUUGGUCGCUAAGCCUCUGUGAAACUCCUUCGACGAGUCGAGUAGUUUGGGAAUGCUGCUCUAAAUGGGAGGUAUACGUCUUCUAAAGCUAAAUACCGGCCAGAGACCGAUAGCGCACAAGUAGAGUGAUCGAAAGAUGAAAAGCACUUUGAAAAGAGGGUUAAAUAGUACGUGAAAUUGUUGAAAGGGAAGCGUUUAUGACCAGACUUGGGCCGGUUGAUCAUCCAUCGUUCUCGGUGGUGCACUCUGCCGGCUCAGGCCAGCAUCAGUUUGGCUUGGGGGAUAAAGGUUUCGGGAAUGUGGCUCCCUCGGGAGUGUUAUAGCCCGUUGCGCAAUACCCUGGGCUAGACUGAGGUUCGCGCUCCGCAAGGAUGCUGGCGUAAUGGUCAUCAGCGACCCGUCUU
rnacentral:rRNA from 1 species